GAUGAACGCUAGCGGCAGGCCUAACACAUGCAAGUCGAACGGUAACAUUGGUGCUUGCACCAGAUGACGAGUGGCGCACGGGUGCGUAGCGCGUAUACAAUCUACCUUUUACAGGGGGAUGGCCCAGAGAAAUUUGGAUUAAUACCUCAUAGUAUUGUUUUAUGGCAUCAUAAAGCAAUUAAAGAUUUAUCGGUAAAAGAUGAGUAUGCGUUCUAUUAGUUAGUUGGAGUGGUAACGGCACCCCAAGACAGCGAUAGAUGGGGGCCCUGAGAGGGGGAUCCCCCACACUGGUACUGAGACACGGACCAGACUCCUACGGGAGGCAGCAGUGAGGAAUAUUGGACAAUGGAGGCAACUCUGAUCCAGCCAUGCCGCGUGCAGGAAGACUGCCCUAUGGGUUGUAAACUGCUUUUAUACAGGAAGAAACACUCCCACGUGUGGGAAUUUGACGGUACUGUAAGAAUAAGGAUCGGCUAACUCCGUGCCAGCAGCCGCGGUAAUACGGAGGAUCCAAGCGUUAUCCGGAAUCAUUGGGUUUAAAGGGUCCGUAGGUGGAUAAUUAAGUCAGGGGUGAAAGUCUGCAGCUCAACUGUAGAAUUGCCUUUGAUACUGGUUAUCUUGAGUUAUUAUGAAGUAGUUAGAAUAUGUAGUGUAGCGGUGAAAUGCAUAGAUAUUACAUAGAAUACCAAUUGCGAAGGCAGAUUACUAAUAAUCAACUGACACUGAUGGACGAAAGCGUGGGGAGCGAACAGGAUUAGAUACCCUGGUAGUCCACGCCGUAAACGAUGGUUACUAGCUGUUCGGAUUUCGGUCUGAGUGGCUAAGCGAAAGUGAUAAGUAACCCACCUGGGGAGUACGUUCGCAAGAAUG
rnacentral:rRNA from 1 species